GUUUUCAUGCAGAUACACACAGCACAGCUAGUUUCAAAAUUAAACCACAAUGAAAACUGUCACUACUGACAAGGAACUAUGCAAAGACCUUCGGUCUCAGGCCCUUGCUCACUCAGGAGUACCUUGAGACCUGUUUCUUCCUGUUCAGCUGCAGUCACGGUUCUAACCUGGUUCUUCUCACGGCUGGUAUCCUCUGACCUUUUAUGUCUUGGCAAUGACUUCCAUGCAUUUUGGCAGUGACUGCCUGAAUCUCUGAUUCAACCCUGAUCGCAGCCUCUCGGGCUUUCUCGCUCCUUUAAUUCUUUCCGCGGAUGGCCACGGCUUUUGCCGCCUGUACCCUUCCUGGAGCAACCCGUGCUUUUGAAAAAUGACCAUGCCGAAGGGGAACUAACACUCCCAGCCUGGUGCGGGUCUUGUCAAUCUGAUUUUUAAAUGAUGGAGGAGGAGGUUUGAGGACAAAGCUCAUGGUGGCAUUACCACUAUCAGGGACGCUGCAAAGAUCAAGUGAAAAGGGGAAAAGGCUCUUCUCAAUGUGAGCACAUUCACAGGCUCUGAGAACAGAGAGGUAUUUAAAGUGAACUGGAACAAACCUGCAACAUCCGGUGCGUUCUGCCUUCAAAAAUAGCUGCCAGUUAGAAAGGGUUAUUUACAUAUUGAUUUCAUGCUAACUUUGUAAUGGAAUGUGCUGCCUGCCUGCCUGCCUGAGACCUAACAACUGUCAUCAUAAUUUUUUCUAAAAAUACAGUCAGAGAAAAACACUCAUUGAACCCUCCACUGGAAAGUAGCUGCAAAAGACCCCCUGAUCCCAAACCUGCUUGACAGACCACAGCCAAGGGCAGGGACACUCAACAACUGUAAACGAGGAACAUUUCACAGCGGCAGCUGGCCCCUCUCUUCUUCCAACCAGCCAAUAUUUUUUGUCUUUCUAGAAAACCUGUCUUGUUCAAAGUAAGUUUCCUGAGGCUUCCCCAGCCAUGCUUCUUGUACAGCCUGUGGAACUGCUGGAACUUACCAUUGGCUGUCCUGGUCCUCAGGCCUUCGGAGUCAGACUGGAACUACACCAUCGGCUUUCCAGGGUCCCCAGCUUGCCAACUGCAGACCUUGGAAUCAGCCUCAUAAUUGCAAAAACCAAUUUCUUAUCCAAAUAUUAGUAUAUAUAUGUAAUUUCUUACAAGAAAUUUAAGUAAACUUCAUAUGUAUAAUA
rnacentral:lncRNA from 1 species